rnacentral:misc_RNA from 1 species
UGAAAAUAGUGCUUGUUCCGGAACUUUCAAGUCCAAGUAAAAGUAGCUUCUGAACCCUUUUUUGCUCUAUAUAAUUUGUAACAGUAGUAUAAUUGCUAGGUUCAUCCCUCUGUCCAUGGGGCUGACCAGUAGGUAUGGGGAGCGAGAACAGGGAGCAGAUAAACCGUGUAAGUGCCUUUUCCCAAAUGUUACCCCGAAUAUUAUUUUGACCUUCUUCCUCAUAGCGACCAUCAUCAUAUACCCAAAAAUGAGUGUCACGGGGACAUUGCACAUUUGCAAGCUUCAACACCUUGAGUUCCAGCUUAGUUAUCUCUCGGCCAUUAAUAUAGACCUGCGUGGUUCCAUUGCUUGCAUGCGG